GUGGGGAAUAUUGGGCAAUGGGCGCAAGCCUGACCCAGCAACGCCGCGUGAGGGAAGAAGGCUUUCGGGUUGUAAACCUCUGUCCUUGGUGACGAAACAAAUGACGGUAGCCAAGGAGGAAGCCCCGGCUAACUACGUGCCAGCAGCCGCGGUAAUACGUAGGGGGCGAGCGUUGUCCGGAAUUACUGGGCGUAAAGGGUGCGUAGGCGGCCGAUUAAGUUGGAUGUGAAAUACCCGGGCUUAACCUGGGGGGUGCAUCCAAUACUGGUUGGCUAGAGUGCAGGAGAGGGAAGCGGAAUUCCUAGUGUAGCGGUGAAAUGCGUAGAUAUUAGGAGGAACACCAGUGGCGAAGGCGGCUUUCUGGACUGUAACUGACGCUGAUGCACGAAAGCGUGGGGAGCAAACAGGAUUAGAUACCCUAGUAGUCC
rnacentral:rRNA from 1 species